UGCAAGUCGAACGAUGAACCGGUUUCGGCCGGGGAUUAGUGGCGAACGGGUGAGUAACACGUGGGCAAUCUGCCCUGCACUCUGGGACAAGCCCUGGAAACGGGGUCUAAUACCGGAUAUGACGCGUUCCCGCAUGGGAUACGUGUGGAAAGCUCCGGCGGUGCAGGAUGAGCCCGCGGCCUAUCAGCUUGUUGGUGGGGUGAUGGCCUACCAAGGCGACGACGGGUAGCCGGCCUGAGAGGGCGACCGGCCACACUGGGACUGAGACACGGCCCAGACUCCUACGGGAGGCAGCAGUGGGGAAUAUUGCACAAUGGGCGCAAGCCUGAUGCAGCGACGCCGCGUGAGGGAUGACGGCCUUCGGGUUGUAAACCUCUUUCAGCAGGGAAGAAGCGUGAGUGACGGUACCUGCAGAAGAAGCGCCGGCUAACUACGUGCCAGCAGCCGCGGUAAUACGUAGGGCGCAAGCGUUGUCCGGAAUUAUUGGGCGUAAAGAGCUCGUAGGCGGCUUGUCGCGUCGGAUGUGAAAGCCCGGGGCUUAACUCCGGGUCUGCAUUCGAUACGGGCAGGCUAGAGUUCGGUAGGGGAGAUCGGAAUUCCUGGUGUAGCGGUGAAAUGCGCAGAUAUCAGGAGGAACACCGGUGGCGAAGGCGGAUCUCUGGGCCGAUACUGACG
rnacentral:rRNA from 1 species